rnacentral:lncRNA from 1 species
GGAAAGGUUUCAGCACAGUAUGAGCAGGUAAUCUAUCUGAUGUCUACAUUUUAGAGUUUGUAGUCUGUAACAGAAUCAUCCAUUUCAAAUACUAGGAAGAUUAACAGGAAACCAACUGUACUCUUCCAUAGUGUUUAGGGUUUGAGGAACACAGUUUUCCAGUUCAUUUGCCAUUAUUAUCCAUUUUUCAAAUACAGAAGUACAAGGGAAAAAAGAGUUUCCAGGGGCAGAAGCAACUUCAGAUCACAACGGAAGCAACAGCUACAUAGUUACCUUUGGAACAGGCCUGGGACUCCUUGCUCAUAUCAGUACACACCAGCCUUCCAACCAAGGGGGUUCAAGUCCCUGAACGGCACUCUUGUACCCAAGUUACUGUCCAGGUCUCUCGAGCAACACUGUAAUAACCGUCUUCUCUUUUUCGCCUGCUACUUAGCCUUCCUUGAAACACCUCAGGAACUCUGAAGAUGGCGUCGCCUCUGUGUGAACACCCUGACCCCUGACUUCCUUCCGGGGCUUGGCCUCAAGGGCUGCACUGCCUUCAGGACCUGCAGCUUCAGUUCCCUCCACAGCCACCAGGCGGGUCCGUGGCUUCACCGCUCCGAGGGAGCCCAGGGCUAAGGGAGAGAGGUGCUGACCACGCACCAGGAGCUGGGGCUCCGCCUGGGCCUGGAGACCAGACAGACCCUGCUCUUGGGGCUCUGAGUGAGCGGGCAGGACUAGAGCUUGCAUUACCCUGCACUGCUCUCUUCUGUGCGGCG